AGACCCUAUGAAGCUUUAUUUUUUAUAGCAAAUUUUAAAUUUAUUUGGGGAAAAAAUUAAUUUUUAUAUUAAAACUAUUAAAUAAUUUGAUCCUUAUUAAAAAUUGUGAAGAAGGUACUCUAGGGAUAACAGCGUUAUAGUUAAUAAAGCUCUUAUUUAAAUAACUGUUUGCGACCCUCGAUGUUGAAUUGCGGAAUUAGUUAAAGCAGAAAUUAAACUAAUUGGGUCUGUUCGACCCUAUUA
rnacentral:rRNA from 1 species